GGAGAGAAACUCAGCCUUUCGGAGGAUGGGUGCAGACCACCGGUCCCUCAGUGUUCUUUAAACCUGCAAGACAGCCAGCGAGUGUAAAAACACUGUUUUCCCUAGGAUUGCACUUUGUGACGGAGACCAAUGUUCUCCCGAGUGGCCUCGUCGUCUGGCUCCGCUCCCCAGGUCUACGGAGCUGCGGAGUCGGCUUCUAAGGUGGUCAGAGGUCUGGCUGGGACAGGAGAGAAAAGAUGCCUGCUUUUCGCCUCCUCGGGCCUGCCCUAUUCAGAACGACCACCUCUAAGGACGGAUGCUCCGAACUUUCCAGAAUGGCGGGUUUAAUUUGCGGUCAUGAAUGAUCCCCCUCAACAAAUGAUCAGACUAAAUAAAAGAAAUCAAUUAGGAAAGAUUCUUCCAUCCCAACGCAGAGGACUUGGCUCAUGACUUAAGAAGAUCGAGGAAGAGAAUGAUCGAAUUAAGUUUCGGGUCAAGCUCCCGGGGAGAGUGCAAGGCUCAUAGGUGAAAACAAUACACCUUGAUUUGCCCAAUCAAUCGCCUCAAGUCCGAAGCCCUGAAAACUUCACCAAUCAGGAAAGACUGGGAAAAAGCAGUUUAUUUCUUUUUGCCGGAAACAUUUCGAGUUCCCGUGUACAGAAACAGAAGAAAGGCAGAUACCAAAUAUUUCUUCAAUGACGACAACGCUGGAAAUUCAGAGUACAGGUUUUAGAGAGAAACUUCAUUGAAAUUGAACAGCCUCCUACAGUUCAUUUAGGAAGAAAAAAGAAUCCUGAUUUUUUGGAAGAAUGGCCUCAAUUUAAUGCUACUGCUUUACUGGGCAUUCUUUGAGCAGAAAAGGAAUGGAGAAUGCAGGAAAAAAGUGGAUUUGACUGAAACUCUCAUUAAAGUCGCAUGUGAUUGAUUUUGGUUCAGGCAAAUAAGGGAUUAGACUGCAUUAAGAAGGGAACGUAGGAAAGAAUGCUGCCAUCCUACAAUGUCCAUGGCAACCCUACCAGACGAACACCCUUCACCACAUCCUGAAAGAUGAAGCAGAAGGAAGAAGAAGUAAGAGAGACGGCUAGCAAAGGGAUGCAACCACUCCAGAGAAGAGGUGUUUGUUUUUUCAAAAGAGGAUUUCCCCAAAUACUCAUUUGCCUUGUCUGCAGAGGGGUAAGAAGAAAGAGGAAUAUUUAGAAGGGACUAAAACUUGCAAUUAGCUCCUGCAGGGCUCUGAAGGUCCCUCCAGGCAGACUCAAUCUAGUGUGAUGUGGAUUUUUGAAGGGUUCUGCUGAAUUCAUACUCUUUUCCUGCAGGAAGAGAUGACAUUUUAGCAGUCUGCACAAUGUUCCUAAAAGUCCUUUUUAGUAAGAUUGUAGAAAAGGAGGAGGGAAGGGAAACAGUAUUCCUCACACGAUUCACAAUUACAACCUCACAGGAUAUAGGGCAAGUGAAGCCCUCAGGUGAGCCAUGGCUUGUAGGCCUGCACUCUGGCUCAGGGCCAGAGCUGAUAUUGCCAUUUAGACUAGGGCAGACCCCAUGUGGUGGAAGUGAGAGGGCCAGAUUGGCAGUUAUCCUGCAGUCUGCAAAUUACCUGAAAGAAGAUUUGUCCUAUUCCAUGUUAAUCAGAGUACGGAGGUUCUCGGAAAGUUGCAACCGUACCGGGAUUCCCUGGGGGUUUGGGCUGGUUCUGGGUAUUGGAAGGGGACAGGGGGAGGCUGGUUUGGGACCACAAAGGCCAGCCUGGCGCUGGAUUGGACAUCUCAGGGGAGGGCCCAAUUCUGACUGAGAGCAUGACAAUUUAAAAGCAAAUCCCAUUUUGGCAACUGUCACGAUGUUCUGAAGUUCUGGACUCUACCUUAGAUCUGAGUAGCGCGUAUUUUAUUGUCAUUACUUAAUGCAGUACCUGGCAUAUAAUGGGUGCUUAACAAAUACCAUAAUUUUUAUGGAUAUCAUUAGGAUCAGUGAGAAAAGGAGUUCCAUUUCAAGCUCAUCUCUAAUAGUGCUGAACUGGAUUAUCGUUCCAAGAUCAGUGAUCUGAACUCAGGAUCUUCAGCAUGUCCCAGUGGUAAGAGCACUGGAUUGGAAGUCGGGAUACCUGGGUUCUAUUCGUGGCUCCACCACUUG